rnacentral:rRNA from 1 species
AUUGAACGCUGGCGGAAUGCUUUACACAUGCAAGUCGAACGGCAGCACGGACUUCGGUCUGGUGGCGAGUGGCGAACGGGUGAGUAAUGUAUCGGAACGUGCCCAGUCGUGGGGGAUCACGUAGUGAAAAUUACGCUAAUACCGCAUACGAUCUAUGGAUGAAAGCGGGGAAUCGCAAGACCCCGCGCGACUGGAGCGGCCGAUAGCAGAUUAGGUAGUUGGUGGGGUAAAGGCCCACCAAGCCAACGAUCUGUAGCUGGUCUGAGAGGACGACCAGCCACACUGGAACUGAGACACGGUCCAGACUCCUACGGGAGGCAGCAGUGGGGAAUUUUGGACAAUGGGCGAAAGCCUGAUCCAGCCAUUCCGCGUGCAGGAUGAAGGCCCUCGGGUUGUAAACUGCUUUUGUACAGAACGAAAAGGUUUCUACUAAUACUAGGAGCUCAUGACGGUACUGUAAGAAUAAGCACCGGCUAACUACGUGCCAGCAGCCGCGGUAA